rnacentral:rRNA from 1 species
GAUGAACGCUAGCUACAGGCUUAACACAUGCAAGUCGAGGGGAAACGAUAGAGAAAGCUUGCUUUUUCUAGGCGUCGACCGGCGCACGGGUGAGUAACGCGUAUCCAACCUGCCCACCACUUGGGAAUAACCUUGCGAAAGUAAGACUAAUACCCAAUGAUAUCUCUAGAAGACAUCUGAAGGAGAUUAAAGAUUUAUCGGUGAUGGAUGGGGAUGCGUCUGAUUAGCUUGUUGGCGGGGUAACGGCCCACCAAGGCGACGAUAAGUAGGGGUUCUGAGAGGAAGGUCCCCCACAUUGGAACUGAGACACGGUCCAAACUCCUACGGGAGGCAGCAGUGAGGAAUAUUGGUCAAUGGGCGAGAGCCUGAACCAGCCGAGUAGCGUGCAGGAUGACGGCCCUAUGGGUUGUAAACUGCUUUUAUAAGGGAAUAAAGUGAGCCUCGUGAGGCUUUUUGCAUGUACCUUAUGAAUAAGGACCGGCUAAUUCCGUGCCAGCAGCCGCGGUAA